rnacentral:rRNA from 1 species
UCGAACGGGAAACAUUUUAUUGAAGCUUCGGCAGAUUUAGCUUGUUUCUAGUGGCGGACGGGUGAGUAACGCGUGGGUAACCUGCCUCACACUGGGGGAUAACAGUCAGAAAUGGCUGCUAAUACCGCAUAAGCGCACAGCAUCGCAUGAUGCAGUGUGAAAAACUCCGGUGGUGUGAGAUGGACCCGCGUUGGAUUAGCUAGUUGGCAGGGCAGCGGCCUACCAAGGCGACGAUCCAUAGCCGGCCUGAGAGGGUGAACGGCCACAUUGGGACUGAGACACGGCCCAGACUCCUACGGGAGGCAGCAGUGGGGAAUAUUGCACAAUGGGGGAAACCCUGAUGCAGCGACGCCGCGUGAAGGAAGAAGUAUCUCGGUAUGUAAACUUCUAUCAGCAGGGAGGAAAAUGACGGUACCUGACUAAGAAGCCCCGGCUAACUACGUGCCAGCAGCCGCGGUAAUACGUAGGGGGCAAGCGUUAUCCGGAUUUACUGGGUGUAAAGGGAGCGUAGACGGUGUUGCAAGUCUGAUGUGAAAGGCGGGGGCUCAACCCCUGGACUGCAUUGGAAACUGUGAUACUCGAGUGCCGGAGAGGUAAGCGGAAUUCCUAGUGUAGCGGUGAAAUGCGUAGAUAUUAGGAGGAACACCAGUGGCGAAGGCGGCUUACUGGACGGUAACUGAC